UGGUGGAGCGAUUUGUCUGGUUUAUUCCGAUAACGAACGAGACUCUGGCCUACUAAAUAGUGGGCAGAUUCUUUCUGUCCGCAACACUUCUUAGAGGGACAAGCGGUGUUCAGCCGCACGAGAUUGAGCAAUAACA
rnacentral:rRNA from 1 species